UACAGAGGUGGCAAGCGUUGUUCGGAAUUACUGGGCGUAAAGGGCGCGUAGGCGGUUCGGUAAGUCCUGUGUGAAAUCCCUCGGCUCAACUGAGGAACUGCACGGGAGACUGCCGGGCUUGAGUUCGGGAGAGGGAAGCGGAAUUCCGGGUGUAGCGGUGAAAUGCGUAGAUAUCCGGAGGAACACCGGAGGCGAAGGCGGCUCACUGGGGGUCUUCUGACGCUGAGGAACGAAAGCCAGGGGAGCGAACGGG
rnacentral:rRNA from 1 species